rnacentral:rRNA from 1 species
AGCGUUGUCCGGAAUUAUUGGGCGUAAAGAGCUCGUAGGCGGUUUGUCGCGUCUGCUGUGAAAGCCCGGGGCUUAACCCCGGGUGUGCAGUGGGUACGGGCAGACUUGAGUGCAGUAGGGGAGACUGGAAUUCCUGGUGUAGCGGUGAAAUGCGCAGAUAUCAGGAGGAACACCGAUGGCGAAGGCAGGUCUCUGGGCUGUUACUGACGCUGAGGAGCGAAAGCAUGGGGAGCGAACAGGAUUAGAUACCCUGGUAGUCCAUGCCGUAAACGUUGGGCACUAGGUGUGGGGAACAUUCCACGUUUUCCGCGCCGUAGCUAACGCAUUAAGUGCCCCGCCUGGGGAGUACGGCCGCAAGGCUAAAACUCAAAGGAAUUGACGGGGGCCCGCACAAGCGGCGGAGCAUGCGGAUUAAUUCGAUGCAACGCGAAGAACCUUACCAAGGCUUGACAUACACCGGACCGGGCCAGAGAUGGUCUUUCCCCCUUGUGGGGCUGGUGUACAGGUGGUGCAUGGUUGUCGUCAGCUCGUGUCGUGAGAUGUUGGGUUAAGUCCCGCAACGAGCGCAACCCUCGUUCUAUGUUGCCAGCACGUGAUGGUGGGGACUCAUAGGAGACUGCCGGGGUCAACUCGGAGGAAGGUGGGGAUGACGUCAAAUCAUCAUGCCCCUUAUGUCUUGGGCUUCACGCAUGCUACAAUGGCCAGUACAAUGGGUUGCGAUGCCGCGAGGUGGAGCUAAUCCCAAAAAGCUGGUCUCAGUUCGGAUCGUGGUCUGCAACUCGACCACGUGAAGUCGGAGUCGCUAGUAAUCGCAGAUCAGCAACGCUGCGGUGAAUACGUUCCCGGGCCUUGUACACACCGCCCGUCAAGUCACGAAAGUUGGUAACACCCGAAGCCGG